GACGAACGCUGGCGGCGUGCUUAACACAUGCAAGUCGAACGGAAAGGCCUGCUUUCCCUUGUGGAUUGCGGGUGCUCGAGUGGCGAACGGGUGAGUAACACGUGAGUGAUCUGCCCCCAACUUGGGUAUAAGCCUGGGAAACUGGGUCUAAUUCCCGAUAGGACUGCAGGGUGGUGCCUGUGGUGGAAAACGAUUUUCUAGUGGUUGGGGAUGAGCUCGCGGCCUAUCAGCUUGUUGGUGGGGUAAUGGCCUACCAAGGCGGCGACGGGUAGCCGGCCUGGGAGGGUGGACGGCCACAUUGGGACUGAGAUACGGCCCAGACGGCUACGGGAGGCAGCAGUGGGGAAUAUUGCACAAUGGGCGGAAGCCUGAUGCAGCGAGGCCGCGUGGGGGAUGACGGCCUUCGGGUUGUAAACUCCUUUCGACCGCGAGGAAGCCACCUGGUUGGAAGGGUGGUGACGGUAGUGGUAGAAGAAGCACCGGCUAACUACGUG
rnacentral:rRNA from 1 species